rnacentral:rRNA from 1 species
GACGAACGCUGGCGGCGUGCUUAACACAUGCAAGUCGAACGGAAAGGCCCUGCUUGCAGGGUACUCGAGUGGCGAACGGGUGAGUAACACGUGGGUGAUCUGCCCUGCACUUCGGGAUAAGCCUGGGAAACUGGGUCUAAUACCGGAUAGGAGCCAUUUUUAGUGUGAUGGUUGGAAAGUUUUUUCGGUGUAGGAUGAGCUCGCGGCCUAUCAGCUUGUUGGUGGGGUAAUGGCCUACCAAGGCGGCAACGGGUAGCCGGCCUGAGAGGGUGGACGGCCACAUUGGGACUGAGAUACGGCCCAGACUCCUACGGGAGGCAGCAGUGGGGAAUAUUGCACAAUGGGCGCAAGCCUGAUGCGGCGACGCCGCGUGGGGGAUGACGGCCUUCGGGUUGUAAACUCCUUUCGCUAGGGACGAAGCUUUUUGUGACGGUACCUAGAUAAGAAGCACCGGCUAACUACGUG